rnacentral:RNase_P_RNA from 1 species
GAGGUCCGGCUAGCGGUUACGGGCUCCCUUGAGGAGCCUGGGGAAACACCACCCUCCAGCCCCGGGCGGGGCUCCGAAAGGAGCACGGGGAAACCCGUGGCAACGGCACAGAAACGGCACGGCCCACCGUGAAUGUAGAUGAUACCGGUAGGCCUGGCAACAUGGCCGAUAAGCGGUUGAUGACACGGUGGGAAUCGAUGAAACGGCCGUCCCCCGCGGAGAAAGGGAAGCCGGCGAUGAAUUCGGGGCCAAGCCGGCUUCAAGCCCGCUAAGCCUAAUACCGCUGAAGUACUGAAGGUGGGUUAUAGCCGGACCUC